rnacentral:rRNA from 1 species
CAUAUUCCAAUAGCGGAGGAAGAGAAACCAACAGGGAUUGCCCUAGUAACGGCGAGUGAAGCGGCAACAGCUCAAAUUUGAAAUCUGGCCCCCGGCCCGAGUUGUAAUUUGUAGAGGAUGCUUUGGGCGCCGGCACCUUCCGAGUUCCCUGGAAUGGGACGCCAUAGAGGGUGAGAGCCCCGUACGGUGGGAUGUCUAGCCUAUGUAAAGCUCCUUCGACGAGUCGAGUAGUUUGGGAAUGCUGCUCAAAAUGGGAGGUAAAUUUCUUCUAAAGCUAAAUACCGGCCAGAGACCGAUAGCGCACAAGUAGAGUGAUCGAAAGAUGAAAAGCACUUUGAAAAGAGGGUCAAAAGUACGUGAAAUUGUUGAAAGGGAAGCGCUUAUGACCAGACUUGCGCCUAGCGAAUCAUCCGGCGUUCUCGCCGGUGCACUUCGCUCGGCUCAGGCCAGCAUCGGUUUUCUCAGGGCGUUAAAAACAACAGGAACGUAGCUCCUCCGGGGGUGUUAUAGCCUGCUGUAGAAUAUCCUUGGGGGGACCGAGGACCGCGCUCGGCAAG